GACGAACGCUGGCGGCGUGCUUAACACAUGCAAGUCGAACGGAAAGGCCCUGCUUUUGUGGGGUGCUCGAGUGGCGAACGGGUGAGUAACACGUGAGUAACCUGCCCUUGACUUUGGGAUAACUUUAGGAAACUGGGGCUAAUACCGGAUAGGAGCUCCUGCUGCAUGGUGGGGGUUGGAAAGUUUCGGCGGUUGGGGAUGGACUCGCGGCUUAUCAGCUUGUUGGUGGGGUAGGGGCUUACCAAGGGUUUGACGGGUAGCCGGCCUGGGAGGGUGGCCGGCCACAUUGGGACUGAGAGACGGCCCAGACGCCUACGGGAGGCAGCAGUGGGGAAUAUUGCACAAUGGGCGGAAGCCUGAUGCAGCAACGCCGCGUGCGGGAUGACGGCCUUCGGGUUGUAAACCGCUUUCGCCUGUGACGAAGCGUGAGUGACGGUAAUGGGUAAAGAAGCACCGGCUAACUACGUG
rnacentral:rRNA from 1 species